rnacentral:rRNA from 1 species
AGGAUGAACGCUGGCGGCGUGCCUAAUACAUGCAAGUCGAACGAGUUCUGAUUAUUGAAAGGUGCUUGCAUCUUGAUUUUAAUUUUGAACGAGUGGCGGACGGGUGAGUAACACGUGGGUAACCUGCCCUUAAGUGGGGGAUAACAUUUGGAAACAGAUGCUAAUACCGCAUAAAUCCAAGAACCGCAUGGUUCUUGGCUGAAAGAUGGCGUAAGCUAUCGCUUUUGGAUGGACCCGCGGCGUAUUAGCUAGUUGGUGAGGUAACGGCUCACCAAGGCAAUGAUACGUAGCCGAACUGAGAGGUUGAUCGGCCACAUUGGGACUGAGACACUGCCCAAACUCCUACGGGAGGCAGCAGUAGGGAAUCUUCCACAAUGGACGCAAGUCUGAUGGAGCAACGCCGCGUGAGUGAAGAAGGCUUUCGGGUCGUAAAACUCUGUUGUUGGAGAAGAAUGGUCGGCAGAGUAACUGUUGUCGGCGUGACGGUAUCCAACCAGAAAGCCACGGCUAACUACGUGCCAGCAGCCGCGGUAAUACGUAGGUGGCAAGCGUUAUCCGGAUUUAUUGGGCGUAAAGCGAGCGCAGGCGGUUUUUUAAGUCUGAUGUGAAAGCCCUCGGCUUAACCGAGGAAGUGCAUCGGAAACUGGGAAACUUGAGUGCAGAAGAGGACAGUGGAACUCCAUGUGUAGCGGUGAAAUGCGUAGAUAUAUGGAAGAACACCAGUGGCGAAGGCGGCUGUCUGGUCUGUAACUGACGCUGAGGCUCGAAAGCAUGGGUAGCGAACAGGAUUAGAUACCCUGGUAGUCCAUGCCGUAAACGAUGAAUGCUAGGUGUUGGAGGGUUUCCGCCCUUCAGUGCCGCAGCUAACGCAUUAAGCAUUCCGCCUGGGGAGUACGACCGCAAGGUUGAAACUCAAAGGAAUUGACGGGGGCCCGCACAAGCGGUGGAGCAUGUGGUUUAAUUCGAAGCAACGCGAAGAACCUUACCAGGUCUUGACAUCUUUUGAUCACCUGAGAGAUCAGGUUUCCCCUUCGGGGGCAAAAUGACAGGUGGUGCAUGGUUGUCGUCAGCUCGUGUCGUGAGAUGUUGGGUUAAGUCCCGCAACGAGCGCAACCCUUAUGACUAGUUGCCAGCAUUUAGUUGGGCACUCUAGUAAGACUGCCGGUGACAAACCGGAGGAAGGUGGGGAUGACGUCAAAUCAUCAUGCCCCUUAUGACCUGGGCUACACACGUGCUACAAUGGAUGGUACAACGAGUUGCGAGACCGCGAGGUCAAGCUAAUCUCUUAAAGCCAUUCUCAGUUCGGACUGUAGGCUGCAACUCGCCUACACGAAGUCGGAAUCGCUAGUAAUCGCGGAUCAGCACGCCGCGGUGAAUACGUUCCCGGGCCUUGUACACACCGCCCGUCACACCAUGAGAGUUUGUAACACCCGAAGCCGGUGGCGUAACCCUUUUAGGGAGCGAGCCGUCUAAGGUGGGACAAAUGAUUAGGGUG